AGUGCAAUUGCUGGGUCAUGUGGUAAGAGUAUGUUUAGUUUUGUAAGAAACUGUCAAAUUGUUUUCCAAAGCAGGUGCAUCAUUUUGCAUUCCCACCAGCAAU
rnacentral:pre_miRNA from 1 species